AGGCAAGAUAACGCAUACCUGAGAAUGGCACUAUGGAGUGUUUAUAGAGUGUGUUGUAACCCGAGUGCAGGAGAUUAAAUGCAGAUUUGACGCUGGUUCACAUCAGAUGGACUCGUACCGGUUGAGAAUGCACUGGCAUAUGGGCCUAGUGGAUGUGUGAAACACUGACACCAGCAGAGAAAAGCAGAAAGCCAGGCAUAUGCAUAUGUGACCCAUGUGAUUUCAACGUGUUUGCAUUUGCUCAGAGGCUAUAAAAUAUCAUCGUGUGUGAGCGAUUACAACCAUAAUGACCGAUGUACCCAAUGUGAUAGUGUAAUCUGUACACAAAGACACAAAUUCACAAAUAUUGCCCACAAAACUCUCAACGAAACCAAACUGGUGUGUGUGUGUGUGUACUCUGCAGGGAUGAGGACUGUGUCUCGGUCUCCCAAGAUGGCAGUGCGAAAACAAACAUUACUUUUGAUCACGGUGCUCCGAGCCUCACGCACACUGCUUUGGAGGAAGAUGUGCUUUACAGAUCUGCUUUGCUCUGCGCUACUACGACGUUUCUGACACAGAUUUGAUGCUGGUUCACAUCAGAUGGACUCGUACCAGUUGAGAAUGCACUGGCAUAUGGGCCUAGUGGAUCAGUGAAACACUGACACCAGCAGAAAGCCAGGCAUAUGGUGUGCCUUUUCAUUAUUAUUAUUAUUAUUAUUAUUAUUAUUAUUAUUAUUAUUAUUAUUAUUAUUAUUAUUAUUAUUAUUAUAAGCUGCAUCCAAAUAUUUAGCGUGUACAGUAAGCUAAAGUAUAUUUUCAUCAUUAACUAAUUUAACAAAACACACUAACACACACACAGUUAUCCCAGUGUUCAUUCGUGAACAUUCAUGUCUUGUAAGAAUGAUAUAAUAUAAAUAUAAUAACACUGUAUUAACACUACAUACAUCAAAGGUUGCUGAUACUUUCUAUGAAGCCUAUAUUCAUAAACCCCCUAUAACUCUGCAUAUAAUACAGUAAGCCAUUUUAUGAACUCUAAAAGCUCAAUGUGUGUAGUGAGUGAUCCCUGUAUAUCUAAGUAAAGCAACUCUGGUGUGGAUGUGUGUGUGUGUGUGUG